rnacentral:sRNA from 1 species
GACCACCUUCCUUAGCGUCAGGACAUCCAGCCCUGUCCGUUCUGAAGCACCGCAGCUGCUAAAGAAUCGACCUGUUUCCGGAUGGUUCAAGAAAUCUUUAGGACAUCACGUUCCAUUCAGUUGCCCUCAGGAUGCAGCAUACAGAACCUUUACGUAGAAACCUCUUCAGAGUUCAAGUUGUCAAGUGUUAAGAAUGUUAUAUCAACAUGAGAACCCAGGAAGGAAAGCAAGUGACAGAUGUGGCAAGCUGGAGUAAUCAAAUGUUGGUACCUCGGAGACUGCGUUUGGCCUCGUGAGAUUGAGGAAUGGACUCGUCACAUGGGUCAUACGGUGUUCGCACAUGUUUUCAAAACAGAGUCGGAGGCGCUCUGCAGCAAACAGGGCUAGGAGAGUAGAAAGGCAAGCCACAGGCUGGGAUAAAAUACGUGCACACUGCACAGCCAACAAGCAGCUUGUAUCCAAAAUACACAAAGAACGCUUAAAACCGUAGAUAGGAAAACAAACAACCCAACUUAAAAAUGCACAAAAGAUGCCCACAGAAACCUCAGAGAAGAUAUACAGAUGGUGGGAAAGCAUAGGAAAGGACACUUGUUACUGAGGAACUGCUUUCUGAACAAUGAUGGUGGACUACGACCCCAGAUGAAAAGGCAAAACUGUCAAUAACAGUUGCUGGCGGGGACGAGGAGCUGUGGGAUGUCCCAUUCAUCGCAGCCCCCGAUGUCAAAUGGCAUUGUGACUUGGGGAAAUAGUUUGGAAGGUUUUUUUUUCAAAUCUAAAUGUAACGAUGUAACCACUACGAGGCAUUAAUUAAAAUGACUUGGACACUCAGCUCCACACAGAAAUUGUGCUUAGAGUAGUUUCACUAUAAUGAUCAAAGUAUGGGAUCAAUUGAGAUGUUCUUUAUUAGAUGAACGGAUAACAAAACCUGUAAUAUGCACUCAAUGGAAUAUUUUGAAUGAGAUACCAGAUUCCCACAUGGGAAGUAAAGAAUCGACUCCUGCAAACUGUCCUCAGAUGUUCACAUUUUACACACACACACACACACACACACGAAUGCAUGCACGAACGCAUGCACAGAUAUAACAUGAAGCCAAUUUUGUUGAAUUUUAUUGUUUCCUUGCUAUUGAAAAGAAGAAAAAAAAGUUUGGCUUGUGCAUAACUCUAUAGAAUCAGCUCUCAUUUCCAUAGGUACUGUGUCCAUGGAUUCAACCAACUUUUGAUAAAAGUAUUUUUAAGAGUGUGAA